AUGGCUGAGUGGAGACACUUCGAGAAGAAAGGGGCGGGUUGGCUCAGGUUUCCAAAUCGGGUUUCACGGAAGUUUGAAGCCGCACAGGCACAGAGGUGGGUCUUGAAAGUGUGGCCAGCAGCAGAGGGGAUGAAUACACGCAAACCCCUUCACUCUGUAGCUGAAAACAGACGUACUCUGUCCUGUGGGUCUCCAGCCACCAGGAAACCGUCCCGUUCAGUUCAGCAUCAUGACGAGAGGUCUGGCCCUAAACAGAGCUGCGUCUGCUUCCUCUCCGCACAUUCACCACGCAGAGGACCCUGAGGAAGCCGACGAACCUGCUGUGCCUCAGUUUCCCUGUCUGCUGGGGGGAAUAAUAGUGACUGCUGUGUGAAAUUUAAAGACAUGACGUGUAUAAACCUGCAAACCCCUCGUGCAUUCAGAUCCUGUUUAUUGAGUACCCGUUGUGUUCUAGGCGCUCUCCCAGCCACUGGGGGACACUGUUCAUUCUUCACGAGGUGUUUCUAGAGAGCCGCUCGCUGUACGGGUAACGGCUCGCACUGUGGUCCUGCCCCGGAGCUCGCACUGUAGUGGAGGCAGCCAGUCACUGGACAAGACACAACAAGCAAACAUCUGGCAAGUCAGAUGCCGGCAGGUGCUUUGGGAAAAAUUCGAAGGAGGGAACAGGGGUAAGAGAGAUGGCUGGGGGAGGGGCAAGGGGGUGGGGACACGGCAAACUUCCCACUACGGAAUCUUGACCUUGGUGAUGCGUCAUGACCAUGGCCGAGCGCAUCCUCCAGGACCCAGCCCGGCCCUCCACGGAUCACGUCUGCAGUGGUUGCAGGUGGUGCUUUGCUGUGGAGGGAGACGCUUUGAACUCUACGCCCUGCAUGCCUGCCGGGUCACUGGACGCUGACUUAGUUUACAGACAGCUGUGCCCACACGGGCUCGGGGAAGGGGCCAGGCUUCUGUCUUAUACCACGGAUCUGGAUCUCUUCCUUCUCCCGGGGAAGGCCGUGACCAAGGCUGGGCGUUCCCAGGAUGGGAGAGAGUGAUUCUCCUGCCUAUUUCUAAAUCUGCACAAUUUGAGAACCGGAGUAGACCCAGGUCCAGGGAGAAUAGAACGCUCACUUGGUGAGUGGCGUAGAAGCACAGACUUUCUAGAAAAGGAAAACAAUCCGUUAUCUCCCCUGAUGGAUGUGACAGACAGUCUCUACUAAAUAUGGCAUCAAAUAAACCGAAGACAAAUCUCCGUGCUGAGCUUCUG
rnacentral:lncRNA from 1 species